rnacentral:tRNA from 1 species
GCCCUGGUGGCACAACGGUUAAGUGCUCGGCUGCUAACCGAAAGCUGGCGGUUCAAACCCACCCAGUGGCU